AUAUGCCUGAACUUGAUUGAUAAAUUCUAAUCCCUGCCAAGCCUGGUGAUAUAUUACACUGGGAUAGUUUUCUUGAUCAAGAGCAAUUUACAGUGAGUUAAUUGCCAAAAUGCUCUUGCAUUAAAGCCAAAAAUUGAUGAAUAAAGAAACUGCAGGUUUCUGUGUAGCCAAAGAAGAAUGGAAAAUGACUGCUAAUUUUUGAUAGAGACUUGUGAAAAAUAUGCACAGCAUAUUUACUCUGCUAAAGCUAGAGCCUUCAGCCAAUGACUCAAAAUUUGUAUAAUGGAUGUAUGAGCAGUUAGAGAUCCUCAACACUCCUCCAUAUUCACUGUGUCACAGAAAAUGCCAUCCAAGAUCAGAUGAAUCUUGGCCAAAAGAAUAAGGAGGUGCAGGACCAGCCUCAAUUCACCCCUUCCUCAGACAUUCAAGGAGAUGGCACCAGCACAAUGUUCACUGAAAAACUGUAUCAGGAACCUGAGGUGAAGGAGAAGAAAGAUUCAGAAAUUCUUACCCUCAAUCAAAAAUCAACCCCAAAUUCUGAAUAUCCCAGAGCUCAGUUUUCCUCACUCAUCUUGAUCUUAACCUUAGUCUUCUUAUUUCUUGGCCCACCUUAACCUAACCUGAAUUUCACUGCUACUAUUGUAUAUUUCCUUGAGAAGGGGAAAAUGACAGUUUCACGCAGAGAGGAAGCAUUGGUCCCUGCAUAUUUGUUUAACCUUCUAUCAGCACGGUGGCUCUGACUCAUUUUUGUACACAGUUGCAAUAGAAGCCAGUGGGAGAUAACGGGGAGUUCAGAUUACCUCCUCCUCGGAAAAAAUAGCAAGUGGAUAGGAGAUUCUAGGGAACUAGUUUUUAAAAUCUAAAUCACGGUAAAAAUGUCAUAUUCCAAGAUAUCCUCUUUAAGAAGACAAAGACAAACUGGUUCAUCCUUAGUCUGUUAAAUGAUGUACAAUUUCUGGCCAAAGAAAAACCUCAACAUCUGGAUUGUUUUCAGGACUAUGUUGUAGAAUAGUCUUUUUUUUCUAAUCAGCCAAGGCAAAAAUGUUAUAUUAAGGGCAUGAUACUGAACUGUAGCCUCUGUACAUGGUUUCUUGUUUGCCCAACUAAUCUUAAUGUAUUAGCUAUAGGAAAUUUAAAUCACCUGAGCCAAGAUGGAUUUAUGUAUUUUUUUCAAUAAAAUGGAUCUUUCUUAAUAAUAACUAUAAAGUCCAAAUUUUCACAAGAGUCCGCAUGCAAGCUAAGAUUUUAUGCACAACAGAUUCCUAGAUGCAUCAAAUGUUGUUUGCCAUAGGUUAGCAUCUCCUUACAUACCUUUCUGUACAUUGUAUAGAACUAAAAGUUAUCCAUGAUCUGACAAUUGUGGGUGUAGAAACUGUGAUAUUAUAUGUUGUUCUUUUAAACUGCAAUGGUAUGUUGUAAAUGCUGUUUAUUGAUUUACUUAUUUACAUUUCUUAUAUGGACACUGACAUAAGAAAUCUUCAAGUUUUGAAAGAACUAUCAAGUAAACCCAGUAGUUCUUCAUUGCAUCUCUUUCCUUCUUAUUCUAAAAAACUGGAAUGUUGUGGCUGUGAAGUUGCCUGUCAUGUGCAAGGAUUAAGACUGUGUUGCAUUCCAUGGUGGUGGUUAUUCUAAAACAAAGUUAUAACACAACAUAUAAUUGUAAUAAUUCUCUACAUCUUAGCAUGUGGUGCACUUUUUUUAUUGUGGCAUAGAUUUUGUCUUCUGAACUGUGAAGGAUAGAGGUUCAUCUUCAUUUACUGUAUACUUACUAUCAAAAAAUGGAGUCCUUAUUUGCACAGAUUCUUACACCAUUCUGCUGUAAAACAAUGGUACCUAUUAUGGAAAUUAUAAAAGGAUUUGUCCUCACUUUUUAAAUUUGCAAUUAUAUUUGUAAAAAAAAAAUUGGAAGCAUGGCUUAUUUUUAAAAAAGGCAAGAAAUGAUAAGGGUUAUCAGAAGGAAUGUAACA
rnacentral:lncRNA from 1 species